rnacentral:rRNA from 1 species
CCUACGGGUGGCUUCAGUGAGGAAUAUUGGUCAAUGGGCGCGAGCCUGAACCAGCCACGUAGCGUGAAGGAUGACUGCCCUACGGGUUGUAAACUUCUUUUAUAAAGGAAUAAAGUGACGCUCGUCUGCCUUUUUGUAUGUACUUUAUGCAUAAGGAUCGGCUAACUCCGUGCCAGCAGCCGCGGUAAUACGGAGGAUCCGAGCGUUAACCGGAUUUAUUGGGUGUAAAGGGAGCGUAGAUGGGGUGUUAAGUCGGUUGUGAAAGUUUGCGGCUCAACCGUAAAAUUGCAAUUGAUACUGGCAGCCUUGAGUACAGUUGAGGUAGGCGGAAUUCGUGGUGUAGCGGUGAAAUGCGUAGAUAUCACGAAGAACUCCGAUGGCGAAGGCAGCCUACUAAACUGCCACUGACAUUGAUGCUCGAAAGUGUGGGGAGCAAACAGGAUUAGAUACCCCAGUAGUC